UCAGAUAACAGAAAUCUGAAAUAAAAGAGAAAAACAAACUGAACGUGGCAUGUUUUAUUAAAAGUGUAAGCGCUAAGCGUAUAGCCAAUACAUUAAUUUACUUUUUAAUAUUUAACCGGAGAGUUGUAGUUUUUCGCCGUCCUUUUAUCAAUACAAAGAAGCGUACCCGGAAGUGAUAAUGGACUACAUUUCCCAUGAGGAGGUCACCUCCGCCAUUACUAAUUUACAUUUUAGAAAGAGCCAAUGCGAGUUUAACAGAAGAUGAACGCGACAUACAAGCAGAAGAUGGUGAUGCAGUACAGCAUGCAGUCAAUACAACUGACAGAACAUGUGUGUUUGAAGCUAAACACAUAAACCCCUCUACAGACCUACAUUUCAGAAAAUCUUCUCUGCUCUGUGGCUCUGGUGGUGCAAUGAUCUGAACUGCCGCAGCUGUGGAAAGAAAAAUGGAAAUGAAGACAAAAAGCAUCAUCAGUGCAGAAAUCACACUCCACAUCUCCGGGUCCAGCGUAACAGUGAGCAGGAGAAGCAGCUUGGAGUUCAGUCUUCUUCAGUUUCUCCACCACGUCAGCCAACAUGUUGUUUCUGCGUAGA